GCAUUAGUAGCUCAGUGUUAGAGCAUCGGUCUUGUAAACCGGUUGCGGAGGUUAGAAUCCUCCCUAUUGCU
rnacentral:tRNA from 1 species